UACGGGGGGGGUAAGCGUUGUUCGGAAUUACUGGGCGUAAAGGGCUCGUAGGCGGCCUACUAAGUCAUACGUGAAAUCCCUCAGCUUAACUGGGGAACUGCGUGUGAUACUGGAUGGCUUGGAUUUGGGAGAGGGAUGCGGAAUUCCAGGUGUAGCGGUGAAAUGCGUAGAUAUCUGGAGGAACACCGGUGGCGAAGGCGGCAUCCUGGACCAAUAUUGACGCUGAGGAGCGAAAGCCAGGGGAGCAAACGGG
rnacentral:rRNA from 1 species